rnacentral:SRP_RNA from 1 species
GCCAGGUGUGGUGGUGCGUGCCUGUAGUCCCAGCUAUUCAGGAGGCAGAGGUGAGAGGAUUGCUUGAGCCUGGGAGGUCAAGGCUGCAGUGAGCUGUGAUUGUGCCACUGCACUCCAGCCUGGGUGACAAAGCAAGACCCCAUCUCUC